UGUCACCGAGCCCUGCCGUGGGUCGGGUCCUGGUUCUGGUGGCCACGACCUGACGUUUUUUGGGUGCUCCGGGUGCGGCGGUGGAACUCAGGGGUAGCAGGAUCCACCCGUUCCCUUUGUGCCUGGAUGCAGCAUCACCAGCAACAGGCAGGGCACAGCGGCAGCUCUCCGACCCAUCGGUACAUCACCCGUACCGGUGUUUUAGCUGCGUUUUGUGCCCAGCCCGGGUUUCUAUCCCAAAUAAAGACCCUCACAACAGCUGCGCCGUGGAAGCCUCUCACUGCCGGAGCUUGCGGGCUCAGCGCGUCCGUCCGGCCUCCGCGGGGCUCCCGCUGCUCCGCCCCGGUACCGGCCCCGCCCCGGCGCGGAACAGGACGCGGCACAUCCGCUUCCCUCGGCGGUCCGGAGCGGAGGAAGAGCGGCCGAUACCGCAACACGCAGGACCGGCAGCGCGCGUGGGAGGAGAUCGCGGCCGCCGUCAACGCGCUGAGCCCGGUGGUGCGGCGCACGGCCGAGGAGAUCCGCAAGAAGUGGCACAACAUGGUGCUGGACGCGCGCCGGGAGCUGGCAGCCGACAAGCACCCGCUGCUCCGACAGCGGCCCCAGGAGCGGCUCCUCCAUCACAUCUUCGCCCUCUUCAACAAGCCCGGCCCAACGCCCGCCCCGUCCUUCGGGCUGCCCGCGGCCGCCCCCGAGCUGCUGCCGCACGGCCCCGCUCCGCACCGCUUCCCCGGCUCCGAGGAGAGGCCGCUGCCCGGCGCGGAGAGCAGGCUGCAGCCAACCCACGGACCGGCCGCCCCAGCGCAGGGCGCAGCCCUCGGUCCUCCGCCUGGCAACCCCGAGCCGCCCCGCGUCAAGUGCCCGCUGAGCCCCGCGCUGGGGUGGCCGUGCCUCGAGGCCAUGGCCAGCCCCGCAUCGUUGGGAACGGGCAGCCCUGGGCCCCCAGAGCCCCCGCAUGAUAACGGUGGCACAGCAGCCUCGGAGCUGUCAGAAAAGCAGAGGCAGCUGCACACCGAGAUCCUGGAGCUGCAGAAGGAGACUCUGCAGCUGCAGAAGGAGAAGAUCGUGCUGGAAAAGGAGAAGCUCCUCCUGGAAAUCCUGAAGCUGCGCAGGGAGUUGGGCACAUGA
rnacentral:lncRNA from 1 species